CAUGAGUUAUUGUGUAUUCAAUCAGACCACAAUCUUUUAACCAAGUGGCAAAAUAUUUGCUCUUAUUUUAUUCUCUUUAGGAAAAGCAGUAAAUAUUUUUAAUGAUAUGACAACAACAACAACAGCAUUUUUGUGACCUGUCAGGUAUAAUAAUUAACUUCAUGCAUAGCAUAGAUUCAGAGAUCUUAAUAGGUAUGUUAUUCAAAACAAGCACCCAGGAAAUAAUGGUAAAGCAUCCAGUGCACAUGCAUUUACACUUUGCCUUGAGUGUAAAUGCAUGUAAACUGCAGCAAUUCAUCUCUCGUUUUCAUUAUUCAAGUAUUAUUUCUAUACAGUUAAUAUACAGUGACAAGCUCACUGCACAGGAGUAUUUAAAAAAGAAUUCAAUAUGCUGAACUUGCCAGCUGUGAAGCUUUGUUUAUUUGCAGUAUUCCUGAAAUUAUUUUUGUUAAAUAUAUGGAAAAAGCUAGAAAUUCUUAUUGUAAAAAGAAAGAAAAUUACAGUAUUUGACGUGUUUUUUUAAUGUUAUCACAUGUCAUUAAAGACAGUUGGUCAGCCUCAUUAAAGUCAACAUUUAAAGAUGGAUAAUUUAGAUAAGGUAAAGAAAAAAACAGAUAAUAAUAAAGUAAGACAAUGAGUACUUACAGUUUUUGCCCGUUGCUUGAACACUAUAAACCCAUGCUUAGACUAAAGUAACACAACUUGAAGCUUUUGUUACCAUACCUCAAACACAUGUACCCAUACCUUAAACAAAAGCGCUCCUUUGCACCCUAGUUGCAAUUAUGCAACACACUUACUCCUUUAUGCAACACACAUGGUCCUGCAUACUACACUCCAUUUCAUACAUAAGACACUUUGUUCACAAAAUUAAAUUUCAGGGUGCCAUUUGGAAAACACAUGUAUCCAAAAUACAAAACACAUCGGGUAAUUGCAACCACUCAAAUACACACCUGAAGGACCUUACUUGCAAAACUGAACACCAAUUAGCCAACUACAAAAAGCCCUCAGUUUAGCCAAUUCAAGAACUUUGCAAGCAUGGAGCAAGAGGAAGAGGAGGAGGAGGAGGUCGAAGAGGCCAUGCACAGACCCAUAUUGCUGAUGAUAUAAGAGCAACUUUGGUGUCAUCAACCAGGGCCUGACUAUGAGGGAAGCUGGGCAGAGAGUCCACCCACAUCUAAGCCGCUUCACAGUGGCAUCUGUAAUAAGAACAUUCCGAAAACAGGUCUGUCUUCACCUCUCUACCUUCUACUCUACUCUACAGUAUAUCACAUUACCAUAUCAAGUGUACAGGGUAUUGCAAGGUGCUAAUGCUCCUUUUGCAGCCAAAGUGGUAGUUUCUGUGAAACAUACCAUGAUUACUUAUAUUGAAGUACAGUGUUGUACAGUGGAUGAUACAGUAUAUACAGUAAAGUACUGUAAGAAAAAUAAGCAAAGCGAUGACAAUAUGUGGUUGUAUUCCUCUAGAAUGACUCGAAGACCUUCUGGGGGAGGACGCCAACGCAUGUUCACACAACAGCAGGAACUUGCUGUUGAGGACCUAGUGAGGGCAGACAAUGCCAUCCGUCUCCACCAGCUACGAAAGCAAAUACUUGCAGACAGGCAAGUGUUCAACAACAUAAACCAUCAUCACCAUGAAGCAGCUCUACAGAGUCCCAUUUGAGAGGAACAGUGACAGGGUCAAAGGACUUCGAGCUGAAUAUGUACGGAGAAUCUUGGCCAUGGAUGGAGCUGCACAGCCUCAUGAAUUCAUUUUCAUUGAUGAAGCUGGAUUUGACCUGUGCAGAACAAGAUGACGGGGUCGUACUGUAAUUGGCCAAAGGGCAAUUGGGGUAGCGCGGGGGAAAUAUCACAUUGUGUGCCGCCAUAAGCCUUCGAGGGCUUCUGCAUCAUCAUACAAAACUAGGUCCAUACAAUAGCCAACAUAUACUCACAUUUCUAAAUGCUCUCCAUGAUAUAGUUGUACAGAACAGAGCAGAUCAGCCCAUGUUUGUAGUGAUAUGGGAUAAUGUCAGUUUCCAUCGGGCUGCUCUGGUCCAGGCCUGGUUCUCCAACCACAACCAACUUGAAGUGGUAUACUUGCCCCCUUACUCACCAUUUUUAAACCCUAUAGAGGAAUUUUUUUUGGCUUGGAGAUGGCGUGUAUAUGACCGCCAACCACAUGCCCGCAUGCCUCUUCUGCAGGCAAUGGAACAGGCCUGCGGCGACAUUCAGGUGACAGCAAUCCAUGGAUGGUUUCGACAUGCAAGAGGAUAUUUUCCCCGGUGCCUAGCAGGAGAAGACAUUGCUUGCGAUGUCGAUGAGGUCCUGUGGCCAGACCCCAAAAGACGGCGGGAUCCAUGAGCCCACGUAUGCACAAUUGUCAUGAUUUUUUGUGUUCACAGUAUGGUGUUUUUUCUAUUACUGUAUUGUGUUUGUUUGUUUGUUUUUGCUUUAUCUGAAUUCAUGGUACUGCAAUGUACAGUGCUGCAAUGUACAAUAUUGAGUCCUAUUGGCUUUUUUGGUUGUUUGAAAAUGUGUCUCCUGAAAAUAUGCCUUCUGAAUAAACAAUGAACAUCAAA
ensembl:lncRNA